rnacentral:lncRNA from 1 species
ACGAAAGAGCAAGGUGUCCGCUUCAUGUGAUGGUAGAAAAGCUUCCCAAGCUGCUGUCGUGUGUUCCGAAGAUGACCACGCGUGAGCAAGCAUCAACGAAGCUUGUAGAUUCUCAGCGGCCACGUUCCUUGGCUGGCAUGGUGUGUGUGUUACAAGGCCAAUUACCAUUGUGGCAGGCAGUGCGUCCACCACACUAGUGUGACAGGACACAAAGUUGCACUGAUUUGAGCAGACAACCGGUAGAUGUUCCUGUCCAGAACCUCAACAGAGCACGAGACCAAGAAAAGUGUCUUACCGGCUUGGCUGGUCGGCAUCUCCUUCUACCUGAUGGCAAUCCAAAAAUCGGGCUGGUCGAAGACUAUGUUGGUUUCUGAGUCACGUGAUACCAUGUUCUUCGCGAGUGCACAGGCGGACAGGGGGUAGCACCGGCGGGGGGGUUCACCUGCACGUGUCACAACCCUGUGAAGGGUUCAUGAGAGCUGAGCGCAGGAUGAUAAGGUCAGCAAGGCUGUCCCCUGUUCGAUUUUUUUUCCAAGGGAACAAAAGGCGUAUUGUCUUUGGUCUUUCAGUGUGGCAUGCGAGGUGGUAUAGUCGUAUCGGGAACCCGUCGGUUUGGAAGAGCUGUUCUCGUAGUCAGUGGCGAACCACCUCCGAGAACCUCCCGUGUCCUGGAAAGCCUUAACUCUUCAUUUGUAGAGUCGCAAC